AUUUACCCAAGCUUAUAGUUUAAAGUGUAGUUGCUUGGGUGGAUUUCAAUGCACUUCCAUAUACUACCUAUACUUUCUGCAUACUCCUCGAGGAGGGGUUUUAGUUGGUAGGCGCAUCGGCGAAUCCCACACUACCGCACUUCAAGGGGUAUCAUUUGAGGAUUUCCCCUUCUCAGAGGAA
rfam:Agrilus planipennis Contig2800, whole genome shotgun sequence.